CUCGCCGUAAACCGUUUUGGCGAUACCCCUCGCCAUCCCAUAUGCUUCUCACGUCCCCGACGCGCUGAGAAGC
rnacentral:tRNA from 1 species